GAAUAAGAAGCGAAUUAUUGCAGUCAGUUUCGACCUGAAAUCCUGGUGAAUACACCCUUAUUCU
rnacentral:tRNA from 2 species